GGAGCAGCAUAAAGUAUUUUACUUCACGUCAAAUACAUUCAAUCUGUUCAUCAUGAGAAGCAUGCUUUUAAUUUUGCUCGCUGCUUUCAUCGCAGUUUUUGGAAUCAUCGAAGCGAAUGCCGAUCCUGAAGCCAGUCCACUAGCUAGUCCACUAGCUAGUCCACUAGCUAGUCCACUUGCGAGUCCACAUGCUAGUCCAUUUGCUAAAGCCAAUCCAGAAGCAGUUCAAAUAACGGAUAGAGAUGCCCAUUGCUGUUAAGAAAUUGUUUGAUUAACUUUUCUUUUGUUUUGAAAGUAAAUAAAAUGUUCUUUAUAGCAUGUAAGAAUUAUCUCCAUUUAUGAUAAUAUAUAAAUGAAUUAAUAAAGUUUUAUUAUAUAUCAGAA